rnacentral:misc_RNA from 1 species
UCAUUAGAAUAAAAACGUGACAAUAAUUUGGCAACACAGCACCACUGUUAUUUCUUGAGAAAAUUUGACUUUAUUAUACUUUAGUUUUAUAUUAAUUCGAUGAAGAAAUAGUUGAAUAACAUAAGAUGUCUUCAUUUACACAAUUUAACCGUUUGAGUAAUUAUAUUAUUGGUAGCUACAAAGCUGUCGUACACGGAAGAGCAAACUGGUUUACACCCCAAAUAUGUAAUUACACAAGGAAAUCUGCUGAGGAGAAACUAGGCAUAGAAAAACCAAAGCGACCAUUGACUCCUUUUUUCAAAUUCAUGACUCAGAUGAGAUCUGCAUUACUUGCUAAGAAUCCUGGCAUCACUUCUAAAGAGGCAAUAGCUUGGAGCUCCAAACAUUGGCAGGAGUUAGAUGCUGCGACCAAAAAUAAAAUGGUAAAGGAAUAUGAGAAAGAUAUGGAGGAUUAUAAAAAAAUUAAGGAGAUCUAUGAAUCUUCUUUAACUGAACAACAAAAGGCAGACAUUAAGAAAUUGAAGGAAGAAAUGACAGCUGCCAGGGAGAAGAGAAAAUUAAGAGCAGAAUUCAAAGAAUUAGGUCGUCCAAAAAAGCCAAUGUCAUCUUAUUUUCUAUUUGCACAAUCAAGAAGAGAUGACUUUCAUGGAAAAAAUAUGAAAGAGUUUCAAGAAAAAGUAAAAGCAGAAUGGCUUAAACUAUCUGACAAUGAUAGAGUCAAAUAUGAAAAACAGGCUCAGCAGCUUAUGGAUAAAUAUAAAAAAGAUAUAGAAGCUUGGGAAUUGAAAAUGAUCUCUAUGGGGCGUACAGAUCUGGUGCGUGCGAAGCCAGUACGGGAAAAGAAAUCAAAGAAUACAGAAAAGAAACAAUAGGAAUUCGGGUGCUCUGACAAUUCAAUUGACUCGAAUAAAUUAGAAUUAAAACCUAGUAGUAAGAGUAAUGAUUUUGUACAAAGUAUUUCUUAUGAAACUCAUAGUUCCACUAGUCCAGAAGCACCAGAUAAUAAAAGUAAUGAAACUAUAACUAGUUCUAGUAUUAAUGUUUCUAAGAAACAAGAGUCAAAAGAAUGUCAGAGCACGGGUGAAAAGGAUGGAACUCAGUCCAAAAAAACUGAGUCGGCAAACGAUCCCACAGUAGAUAACAGCAAACAAACUCGAUUACUAACCAGAAUAUUUAAUGAUCUACAUGGAAAGAAAUAAACAAGAAAAAUCUUUAAACCAUUUUUUUAUUUCAAGUGUUAUAAAAUAUAAUUUAAAUAAAUGUUUUAUAUUUGAUUGA